rnacentral:rRNA from 1 species
UACCGUAGGGUGCAGGCGUUAAUCGGAAUUACUGGGCGUAAAGCGUGCGCAGGCGGUCUGCUAAGAGAGAUGUGAAAUCCCCGGGCUUAACCUGGGAACUGUGUUUCUAACUGGCAGGCUUGAGUUGUGGCAGAGGGGGGUGGAAUUCCACGUUGUAGCAGUGAAAUGCGUGAGAGAUGUGGAGGAACACCGAUGGCGAAGGCAGCCCCCUGGGCUAACACUGCGCUCAUGCACGAAAGCGUGGGGAGCAAACAGG